UGUACUUUAUUAUUGUCAAUGACUUGGCACACAAAAAUGAAUCAUCCCAUGGAUAAGGCCUGUUAGACGUGAUACCAAUUCUGAGACCUGGUUUUUAAAACGGAUAAUAGUAACCAAAAGCAUCACUACUAAAAUCACCAUCACUACUAAAAUCACCAUCACCACCCACAUUGGCCACAUGCCUGUGUCACCACUGUGCUCUUCUUGGACAGUGACUGUGAGAGUGACAGCAUCUGGUGUUCCCCGCUCUUUAGAGCCAAAGAAACACUGGUAAUUGCCCUGAUCAGAAAGACGUACGUCUGGCAGGGUGAUGGAAAGGUCUCCCUGUCGGUAAGCAUCUUUGGACACCGACACCCUGUUCUCAAACCCAGGGCCGUAGGUUAUAUUCCCUGCCGUGACAUUCAGCACAGUCUGUCCAUCCUUUUCCCAAUAGAUGUGUACCUCACUGUUGGGAGUUUGUUUUUCAGUUGAGCCGUGGCAAGUAAGUGUGGCCCUAUCUCCAACAUGGUAAGAUAUUUUAGUGGGGAUCAAAACUACUAGUUUUACAUCCUGUAAAACCUCGUUGGUGCAGACACACUCAUACCACCCCUGGUCAUUGUACUCAACUGAGGAGAUGGUGAGAGAGAGGCUUUCAUUCUGGAGUUUAACCCUGUUGUCAUAACCCUCUCCUGUAGUUAAAACCUCUCGAUCGAGUUUAGCCACCAUCUUCUUGUUAUCAUGACGCCUCCACUCAAGACUACCGUGACACAAUCCGGAGCAGGAGAGUGAAAUUGAACCGUUCAAAAUCACUGUUUUAGUUAUAAUAGUGGAAUAUGAGGACGACAUUGCAUUGAGAAGGACAAGCAGGAACACAGCAAGUGUUACCUUCCAACGCAUCGUUAGAUAGUACUAGUACCGAGGCAAUAGUAUUGUUCGAUAGUACCAGUUUUAUUGUAAAUAUUGUAGUAUAUAGCAGUAUAUAUUGUCAGUGGCGAGCUAGCUACCUACCUUGCAUACAAUCAAUUUACAUUUCGCUCCAACAGGCGGAUGCUUUCGCAACUUUCCUGUCGUGCUCAGCAAUCUCCAACUGUACAGAUUAUAUAUACAUCGUCGUAUAUAGCAGUAUUUAUCGUCAUCGGGGAGUUAGCUGCCCACUUGGCACCGAGAUCAGUAAUAGUAUCAAAGCCGUAUCAGUAUAAUUAAAUAUAUCGUUAUCCGUAACUUCUAAACAGUUAUAUUUCGAUCCAGUAGGGUGAUGCUUCCGUAAUUUUCCGUGUCGUGCUCAGCAAUCUCCAACGGAACAGUAUUGGGAAAUAUAGAACCAACCUGGAUUUAUCCCAUGUCUCAACUACCCUGCUGUUCCACAGGGUGGAUGGAGAAAACGACCAGGUAAUAUACUCUCUGGCUACUCUGGAUCCCCCAAGCCACAAGACUCCUGAACAGCUCCAUCACUUCUACAACCGGUACUUCCAGUAGGGCCACAUUGAGCUUCAAUAAACUUUUCCAGCUUUCAAAACCACCAGCACUACCCCCUGGACCAGCCACGGACUAACCAGGUACGAUGCCCCGAAGUUCGCCUCCGCCUCAUCCACCACCCAUUGAGCCAGUGGAAGCAGUGGAGAGACCCCAGUGCCCAACACCCUCUCCCCAGGUUUAGGUGACCCUAGCCAUGCUAGUGAUGGGAAUGGAGGGGCAUGUAUGAUGCACCAUGACUUCCACAAGCUGUCUGUUCAAGCCAGGCCUACCACACCACCACUUCCACCAUGGGGGGGCCCUGACGUCCGGCCUCUGCCCAUGCUUGGGGAGGGUUCCCAGGCACAGCUCCAGCCACAAACGGCCUCCCCCUGGAUGUCUCUCUCCAACCCGCUCUACAGAGAGUCUAUGAUGACUUCUCACAACUGUGCCAACACAGCCUCCUCCUCUUCUUCCUCCUUCGCUCCAGUCUUCCCUCCACCCUGCCCUGCGCUAACUGUUGCUACAUCCAGGGCCCUACAGCUCCCACUACCUCACGGCUGCCCCAAAGAGGAUAGGCUAGUCCAGAGAGACUCUACUACCUCCAUCCCCUCUAUACACCCACAAAGAGAGAUCUAAAUUGACAAAUAAAGGUAUCCUGCAUUUUAUGUGGAUUUUUUCUCUGUUAAUCAGUUAUUUUCUCUGCUAAUCCGUACGUUAUUCACAUCUACCAGCUGCAAUAUUAUGUUUACAUCCCAAAUGGCACUAUUCCCUAUAUAGUACAGUUAUUUUGACCAGAGCCCUAUACACCCUUCUCAAAAGUGCCAUUUGGGAAGCUUAUGUCUGUGUUCAUUCAACCAACUUUAAUUAAAAUUACACUUCCUUUGCCAACAGGUGGCAGCAGAGUCAGCUAGUGGGUGGGGCUUUCUACGUGGUUGUCUGGAUGUGUAGCUAGUGGGGGGGGGGCUUAC